AUGCAGUCGCACGGCUGGUGCUUUCGGGUGCUGGCAGUGGCGGACGGGUGAGUAUCGCGUAGGGAUUUAUCGUUGGGUGGGGGAUAACCGCGGGAAACUGCGGCUAAUACCGCAUGACGCCUGUGGGCCAAAGGUCGAGAGACUGCCUGAUGAGGAGCCUGCGUUCGAUUAGCUAGUUGGUUGGGUAAUGGCUGACCAAGGCGACGAUCGAUAGCUGGUCUGAGAGGAUGAUCAGCCACACUGGGACUGAGACACGGCCCAGACUCCUACGGGAGGCAGCAGUGGGGAAUAUUGGACAAUGGGCGCAAGCCUGAUCCAGCAAUGCCGCGUGGAUGAAGAAGGUCUUCGGAUUGUAAAGUCCUUUCGGCGGGGACGAUGAUGACGGUACCCGCAGAAGAAGCCCCGGCUAACUUCGUGCCAGCAGCCGCGGUAAUACGAAGGGGGCUAGCGUUGCUCGGAAUGACUGGGCGUAAAGGGCGCGUAGGCGGAUGGCUUAGUCAGGUGUGAAAUUCCCGGGCUUAACCUGGGGGCUGCAUUUGAGACGGGUUGUCUAGAGUUUG
rnacentral:rRNA from 1 species